CUCUCGGAAACCAUUUGCUGGAUCUUAGUUCUGAUACAAUAUCCUGAUCCUUUGUCUGAAGAUUGACACUUAAGCCCGUUCUUUCAGAAGCUGAGCAGAUUAUUUUUAAUGCACAGAAGGAAGAAAACAAUUGUCUUGCCCCAUCUUAUACAAGAGAUUCCUGAGGUGUGUCCCUGUCUGAAAGAGAAGUGCAGCCAUGCUAGUGAGGAGAAGCAACAGCAACAGUGGAGCAAAGGGAAAGCUUGGAGUAUGUAGCAUCUCAGACAUGGCUUUCAUAAUGAUGAUGACAACUUUAGCUGGGAUUCUGUGGCACUGAAGGAAGUUUCACAGUGAAGGUCAGACUGUCAAAUGCCUUUUCAACUGAUUAAGCUAAAGAAGAGAGGAGCCUGCCAUCCUAUGCAAUCUUCUGCAUUGCUCUCCAGUAUGAGUAUCUGGUUUUCACAGGAUCUCUUGGACCUAAAUACAGCCUGUUCUCUUCUAAACUUUGCAUCCAUUACAUCUUUCAUCCUGUGCAAUACCACACUGCAGAAGACUUUAUACUACUCUUGCUUCUAUGGGACACCUCUCCAGCAGCCAGUGAGAUCACUCUUUUUGGGUAUUCUGGCGGUGAUUCCCUGCUUCCACUGUUGAGGAGACUUUUCACAGAUUCAACUCAGUCAGUCUGGUUAAGGUAGUGAUUCCCAAUGUUUCUAGCAUUUUUGCUACAACUUGAUGAACUCCUGUCACUUUAUUGUUUUUGAUUGCUGCCUGUGAGUGUUACAUCUUGACUGGGUCAGCAUUAAUGUCACAAUGUUCAGUUUCACAUAUGUCAUCAAAAUCUAGUGCUGGGGGAGGAGGGGGGUGCUUAGUCAUUCAAGGACAUAUUUUAAAUACUCUGACCAUCUGUUUUUCUGUUCUACUUCAGUUAUGAACAUUUUUUCCAUUUUUGCUUUUGAUUUGGU